rnacentral:rRNA from 1 species
UGGGGAAUAUUGCACAAUGGGCGCAAGCCUGAUGCAGCCAUGCCGCGUGUGUGAAGAAGGCCUCGGUUGUAAAGCACUUUCAGCGAGGAGGAAGGUGGUGAGCUUAAUACGCUCAUCAAUUGACGUUACUCGCAGAAGAAGCACCGGCUAACUCCGUGCCAGCAGCCGCGGUAAUACGGAGGGUGCAAGCGUUAAUCGGAAUUACUGGGCGUAAAGCGCACGCAGGCGGUUUGUUAAGUCAGAUGUGAAAUCCCCGGGCUCAACCUGGGAACUGCAUUUGAAACUGGCAAGCUAGAGUCUCGUAGAGGGGGGUAGAAUUCCAGGUGUAGCGGUGAAAUGCGUAGAGAUCUGGAGGAAUACCGGUGGCGAAGGCGGCCCCCUGGACGAAGACUGACGCUCAGGUGCGAAAGCGUGGGG